rnacentral:rRNA from 1 species
GACGAACGCUGGCGGCGUGCCUAACACAUGCAAGUCGAGCGAAAUUUCUCUGCUUCUUUCACUAGAAAGACUGAGCGGCGAACGGGUGAGUAACACGUAAAGAACCUUCCUCAUAGACAGGGACUACUGUUGGAAACGAUAACUAAUAACGGAUAACAGUAUUUCUCGCAUGGGAGAUGUUUAAAAGUUGGUUAUGGUAACACUAUGAGAUUGCUUUGCUGUGUAGUUGCUAGUUGGAGGGGUAAAGGCCCACCAAGGCGACGGUGCGUAGCCGAACUGGGAGGGUGAUCGGCCACACUGGAACGGGAACGCGGCCCAGACUCCUGCGGGAGGCAGCAGUAGGGAAUGUUCGGCAGUGGGCGGAAGCCUGACGGAGCGACGCCGCGUGAGUGAAGGAGGCGUUCGGUUCGUAAAGCUCUGUUGUUGGGGAAGAAUGGCUAUGGAGUAACACGACGCGUGAGUGACGGUACCUAGUCAAAAAGCAACGGCUAACUACGUG